GACGAACGCUGGCGGCGUGCUUAACACAUGCAAGUCGAACGGAAAGGCCCCUUUGGGGGUACUCGAGUGGCGAACGGGUGAGUAACACGUGAGUAACCUGCCCUUGACUUCGGGAUAACUUCAGGAAACUGGGGCUAAUACCGGAUAGGAAUCCUUGCUGCAUGGUGGGGGUUGGAAAGCUUCGGCGGUUUUGGAUGGACUCGCGGCUUAUCAGCUUGUUGGUGGGGUAGUGGCUUACCAAGGCUUUGACGGGUAGCCGGCCUGAGAGGGCGACCGGCCACAUUGGGACUGAGAUACGGCCCAGACUCCUACGGGAGGCAGCAGUGGGGAAUAUUGCACAAUGGGCGGAAGCCUGAUGCAGCAACGCCGCGCGCGGGAUGACGGCCUUCGGGUUGUAAACCGCUUUCAGCAGGGGCGAAGCUUGUGGUGACGGUACCUGCAGAAGAAGCACCGGCUAACUACGUG
rnacentral:rRNA from 1 species